rnacentral:rRNA from 1 species
GUGCCAGCCGCCGCGGUAAUACAGAGAGUGCGAACGUUGUUCGGAAUUACUGGGCUUAAAGCGCACGUAGGCGGCGCCGCAAGUGCGAGGUGAAAGCCCACGGCUUACCCGUGGAACUGCCCCGCAGACUGUGGUGCUCGAGGAUGGUAGGGGAGAGCGGAACUCCUGGUGGAGCGGUGAAAUGCGUAGAUAUCAGGAGGAACACCGGUGGCGAAGGCGGCUCUCUGGUCCAUUUCUGACGCUGAGGUGCGAAAGCUAGGGGAGCAAACGGGAUUAGAAACCCGAGUAGUCC